rnacentral:rRNA from 2 species
AAAUUGAAGAGUUUGAUCAUGGCUCAGAUUGAACGCUGGCGGCAGGCCUAACACAUGCAAGUCGAACGGUAACAGGAAGCAGCUUGCUGCUUUGCUGACGAGUGGCGGACGGGUGAGUAAUGUCUGGGAAACUGCCUGAUGGAGGGGGAUAACUACUGGAAACGGUGGCUAAUACCGCAUAACGUCGCAAGACCAAAGAGGGGGACCUUCGGGCCUCUUGCCAUCAGAUGUGCCCAGAUGGGAUUAGCUUGUUGGUGAGGUAACGGCUCACCAAGGCGACGAUCCCUAGCUGGUCUGAGAGGAUGACCAGCCACACUGGAACUGAGACACGGUCCAGACUCCUACGGGAGGCAGCAGUGGGGAAUAUUGCACAAUGGGCGCAAGCCUGAUGCAGCCAUGCCGCGUGUAUGAA